GACAGGGGUCUCAAGCGUUAAUCGGAAUCACUGGGCUUAAAGGGUGCGUAGGCGGGCCUGUAAGUGUCCUGUGAAAUCCCCCGGCUCAACCGGGGAACUGCGGGGCAUACUGCGGGUCUUGAGGAAGGUAGGCGCCGAGGGAACAGUAGGUGGAGCGGUGAAAUGCGUAGAUAUCUACUGGAACGCCGAUGGUGAAGACGCUCGGCUGGGCCUUUCCUGACGCUGAGGCACGAAAGCGUGGGGAGCAAACAGG
rnacentral:rRNA from 1 species